rnacentral:lncRNA from 1 species
AGCCUCACAGCGGUUCAAACAAAAGGGACUAAAGCACUGAAGGUGCUUUGCCAGAACACAAAAAACGGCCAUGUGUUUACAGCACAAAUGAUUGUAAGUCGAGUGCAUCUGGGAACAAAGAAGCAAGGAUUUGGAGCGUUCGAGAAAGACGGAUACGUUGGAGACAGUUCCUGGGUGCAGGGGAAGGGUCCUGCCUGGGUGCUUGCGUCAGGCCGAACCAGGAAUGAGUGCGGGAGGAGGAAAAGCAGCUGCAGCCCAAUUACUCAGUAGCUCAGGUGCCUCAGGAGGAUUCUGGCUUCUGGUUUACCGAAACAGAUCUACUUUCUGAGAGAUCUUGGGGGACCGCUCCACAGAAGUGCAGGCUCUGGCAACUUCCUCCUUUAUUGCUGUUGACAUCUGGUAUUUUGAAGAUCCCGCCAUGCUCUGGCCAUCCUGGGCGAGGAGUCCUAUGAAGAGUGGUUUCACUGGAAAGGUACUUGUUUACCCGGUGGGGGCAGGGGACCACAAAGGCUCAUCUGGUCAAAAUACCGGUGUACGGGGGGCAAGGGCAUGAGAUUCAAAAACCAAGUCUCUCCCCACUCCUUGUGUGGCCUUGGGGAUUAGGGUACUCAACCCCUGAAAUUCUGUUUCCUCACUAGCAAAUUGGGGAUGAUAGAAACUACUUCAGGAGUUCCCGUUGUGGCGCAGUGGUUAACGAAUCCGACUAGGAACCAUGAGGUUGCGGGUUCGGUCCCUGCCCUUGCUCAGUGGGUUAACGAUCCGGCGUUGCCGUGAGCUGUAGUGUAGGUUGCAGACGCGGCUCGGAUCCCGAGUUGCUGUGGCUCUGGCGUAGGCCGGUGGCUACAGCUCCGAUUCGACCCCUAGCCUGGGAACCUCCAUAUGCCGCGGGGGCAGCCCAAAGAAAUAGCAAAAAGACAAAAGAAAAAAAACAAAAAAACCCCAAAAAAAACCACCAAAAAACUACUUCACAUGGUCUUGGAAAAAAAUGAACGCCACAUACCAAGUGUUUGUCACAGAGACCUGAGUAAAGGUUCGUGGCCCCGUUCCUUUCCCUUCUCCCAACCCCUCACCUCCCCCUCUGACUCGACUUGAGCUUCUCAUCACAGAAGCUAAGAAAUGACCCUCAGCAGGUGGUGGUUUCACUGGUACAUCACCUUGGAGUGAGGGCCUUAGAAGGAAUUGGAGGUCUGAGGGUCUGGGGUCUGAAAUCAAGGAAGAAAGACCCUUCUCUUCUGGACCCUUCUCCUUAGCAUGGUGGGGAAUGUCAGGAACAUCGACAUAGACAAAAAUCGUGUUAAGAUUUGUUCUGAAAGGUCAUUUGACCUUACCCUCUCAUUUUAUGGGUGAGAAGUUCAGGCCCCUGAGAGAAGGGAUAGUCUUACUAACCUCCCCCCUUUCCACCCCUCUAGGUGGUUCCUCUGAGGGUUUGUGCUGGGAGUUGUCCAGCUGCCCCAGAUCCAGGGUCCACCCUCACCCCCCGCCCCAGGGCCUGGGAGGCUCACCUGUCUGGAUCACAUCAAUGGGCCCCUUAGCCCUCUGCUUUCUCGUUGUGUUUGGCUAAGCAGAAGCACCAGGAGUGGAUCAAAGGGCAGAAGUCAGACUAUUUAUACAUAUCCUGGGUUCCCUCCCUGCCAGGUCACGGCAGGCUCUAGGUGACCCUCUACCGAAAGGCCAUGCUUCUGUUGAGUGGCCCUCUCCAGUUCAGUUGUUCUCUCUGGGUCUAACACAGACCUGUUCUGUUCCCCUAAGAAUUCAUGCCUCAGGUUGGAGAAGAGAAGCACUUCCCAAUGUUGCCACCCCCAGGUUAUUCCACUGCCCCAGGUUAGCUUCGCUGAACUCUGCCCACACCAUGGUAAUAAUCCUAUUUUAAAGUUUUCCUCUGGUGCAUGGUUUCCAGUAUGUCUCCUGCAAAGACUGUGAAAACAUAAAAAAGAACUCCCUUCUCCUGACCUUAUGUUUUUCUUGUGGAAGGACUUCCACUUGGCAAGGGUCUGCCAACCAAAUCCAGCCCACUGCCUGUUUUGAUGUAGCCCAUGAGCUAAGAAUGGUUCUUAACAUUUUUUCAAGGGUAGAAAAUAAGUCAAAAGAAGAAUAUACUGUGACACUUGAAAAUGCAAAUUUCAGUGUCCAUAAAUAUAUGGAACACAGCCAUAUUCAUUCACUGAUGCAAUGCCUCUGGCUGCUGCUUUCAUGUGACCAUGGCAGACUUGUGUAGUAGCAACAGAGACCAAAUAGCCUACAAAAUGUAAAAUAUUUACUCUCUGGCCCUUUACGGGAGAGUCUGUAACUCCUGUCCUAGAUGCCGUACUAGAUGCCAUUCUAGAUGCCGUUUAUCUUCCCUUCACUCUUUCCUCAACUCCGGGCUGCAGGUGAACCUCGUGAUUGGCUAGAACCAGUCUAUUAAGUGUUGCAAGAUUUUAUUCCCUUUCCUUUCUCCUCUGUCUCAGUCCAGUGAACACUUAUAUCCACUCCUCAGACCUUGACUUGCCCUCAGAGCCGCUGUCCCAAGACCUAGCCUGGAGGAGGGAGAAUAGCAGGGUCCAGGGAAUUUGAGAAGGCUCUUCUGGCAGCAGAUUUAAAGCCCUCUUCUCUGAGAGGCUGUCUCUCCAUUGGUUCUGAACUCAAGAGGGAGUGGGUAUGAUUCAUUGACCCCCUGGAACCCAGCAUCCCCUGCCUCUACAACCUUAGUUCCUUAGUUUGAACCCUCAUCAUCUCUUAUUUGAAUCUCCGAGACAUCCUCCUACCUGGCCCCUUGCCCCCAGCCUCACCUCCCUCCAAUCCAGAAUAGCCAGUUUUUUUAAAAACACAAAUCUGACCUAUUUCUUCUCUACUGUGAAGACCGAUUGCGUUAAUGGCUCAAUGUGGACAGUGCCUUUCCACAUUGAUUUUAAACUUAGGCACAUGAUUUUCUCUGGCCAAGGGGAUGCUGGCAAAUUGCCAUAGCGGAGACUUCAAAAAGCUAUUGUAUGUUUCCUCCUCUCUUGGACCCCUGCUGGCAGCAUAAGACAUGUCUUCACUAGCCUGCUGAGAGUGGUAAGAGACACAUGGAGAAAGCGAUGCUGUCACAGUCAAGGUCCUCCUAGAUAAGCCAGGCCCCAGCCAACCUGCCAGCUGCCUACAAAUGCAGAGCCAGCCCAGCCCAGAGCAGUAGCACUGUCUAGUAGAAUUUUAAAAACAAAUCAAAAGGUGUUUUAGGUCUCUAGACUUUGGCAUGGUUUGUUAUUCAGCAUUAGCUAACCGAUAUACCUAUUUAAACUCUUCAGAGCAUCAAAUUACCCACACAACAAAGCCAACAUUCCUUAACUUAAUAACAUAUGAGGUCUUUCAUCAUCUUUCUGAGCUCCAUACAUUUAAGCUAACCAGCCCAGUCCCACGAUAUGCAGCUAUUACUAUAAAAACUGGUUCCUGACACCCUUGUCUGGUUCCCCAGCUAAAUCCUAGAGUUUAUGCCUUGCCUCUCUCUUUCCUGCCGAGUCCCUGGCUUCCUUUGUUCUGGUUGCCCCUUGAACUGAAUUGACCCCACUUCCCUCUUUGACUAUAACUUAAACUCACCUUUUAGAUCAGUGUUGUCCAAACUUUGAAUCAUGACUCGGUCAUGAAAUAAGUUUGGAGAGUCAUGACUACCAUUCUUUUUUUGGCUGAAACAUAUAUAUUUAGAGAAGGAGAGAGAGAAUGGAAUUACAAUAUCUGAUAUAGCAAAUAUCAGAGUGAAUUGUGUGUAAUGAGAGUAAAUUUUAAAUAUGUAUGUACUGAUUUACCACGUAAAAUAUAUCUUUUUCUGCGAAACAGUCAAAAGCGUUCGAAAACACACCACUUUAGAACACAUCUUCUUCCCGCUACUCUGAAUAAAUACUGUCCCAAAUCUACCUGGUCCUCGCACCCCAGGAUGGGCCCUCCUAAGUGCUCUCCCCCAGCACCUGCCCAUUCCCACUUGACCUCAUCAGCCCCUAACACACGGCCCUCCAUGUCUCCUUGGGGCGCCAUCAACCGGAAGUACCAGCUGUGCCUUUGCGAAGUUGGGGUUUCCUCCACCAAUAACAGCAUUUCCUCCUUGUCUGUCUGGAAAACUCCUGUUUGUUAGGAGUGCUGUAAGUGUGUUCUCCAUCAUUUACUCUUCCACGUGCAUGUGACUCAAUACGCUCGAGUUGCACACUCUUUGGGAGAGGCCUCUUCUUCCCCUCCCCCUUCCCUGGCGUCCAGUUCCAUUCCCACAUGGACACCAAAGCUGAUGAUACAUCAAAGCUUAAGAGCAUUCUUUUUAAUAAAAACUUCGAUUUUCCUUGUCAUCGCUGGAGAAUCAUCAGUAUUCCUACGUGCGCCCACAGUCCCCGUGCAGGCAGCGGCCAUGACCCUUCGCGAUUACUGACUUCUACUUGUUGAAUCUGUGCGUUUUUUCCACACGAGGUUGGGAGCUCUUUGAGGUUAAGGCCUGAGCCUGUUUAUCUUUGUGUCACUAGCAUCGAGAGCAGGGCCAGGCAUCGGGACAAGCUGGCCUUCGAGUCCAGUUGAAAUUAUCCCCUUGCAUAUUUGGGACAGCACAGGCAACCUGUGGGCGUGAGUUACAGGGCCCCUUGGCCUCAGUGGGCAGAGGAUGGGCAGAGGAAGCAGAGGGAAGAGGGCCAACUCCAGC